rnacentral:lncRNA from 1 species
CAAAUCUUUACAGUUUACAAAGCAUUUUCAGAGACAUGAUCUCAUUCUUGUUCUCACAACAAUCCUGGGAGGGAAGGAGCAUGUACUCAAAGACCCGGCCAGGAAGAAAGAUUUGAUCUCCCGGCAGGAUCCACUUCCCAUGGCGACGCCUUCUUGAGUCGAAGCUCUGAUCUUUUUGGUGAAUGCCUUGGAGGUUUGGGUUCAGUGGACUUUGACUGUGUGUCUCCAGAAAGCUCAGCACAUGCCUCCUGAAGCAGAUAUCCAGCCGGCUGAAGCUUGCUGCCGUGGAACCAAUCGUGAGACCGUUGCACAGUGGUGUCUGCGUGAGAUCAGUGCAAUACCGUGAAGAGUCCGCUUGAUUUGGGGGAAGUGCUCGCACAGCAGUCAAGAGGUCUAGAUGUGAGCCUGACUCUGCCACUAAAGCUGUGUGACAUUGUCUAAGUGUCUGCCUCUCUCUGGGGCUCGAUUUCUUUCUCUGUGUAGUGAGGGUGGGGUCAGACAAAUGCUGAGGAGCUUUCUAGCACUGACCUUCAAUGAUUCUUGUAGGCAGACACUGUGACACAUGUGUCUUGGCUCCCGUAUCCCCAACCCAGGACCUGGUGUAGCACCAGAAACAAAAUAGGUACUAAGCAAAUGCUUAUUAGAUGCACA